ACUGCUAAUACCGGAUGAUGACGUAAGUCCAAAGAUUUAUCGCCGAGGGAUGAGCCCGCGUAGGAUUAGGUAGUUGGUGUGGUAAAGGCGCACCAAGCCGACGAUCCUUAGCUGGUCUGAGAGGAUGAUCAGCCACACUGGGACUGAGACACGGCCCAGACUCCUACGGGAGGCAGCAGUGGGGAAUAUUGGACAAUGGGCGAAAGCCUGAUCCAGCAAUGCCGCGUGAGUGAUGAAGGCCUUAGGGUUGUAAAGCUCUUUUACCCGGGAUGAUAAUGACAGUACCGGGAGAAUAAGCUCCGGCUAACUCCGUGCCAGCAGCCGCGGUAAUACGGAGGGAGCUAGCGUUAUUCGGAAUUACUGGGCGUAAAGCGCACGUAGGCGGCUUUGUAAGUAAGAGGUGAAAGCCCAGAGCUCAACUCUGGAAUUGCCUUUUAGACUGCAUCGCUUGAAUCAUGGAGAGGUCAGUGGAAUUCCGAGUGUAGAGGUGAAAUUCGUAG
rnacentral:rRNA from 1 species